rnacentral:rRNA from 1 species
GAUGAACGCUGGCGGCGUGCUUAACACAUGCAAGUCGAACGAUGAAGCCCAGCUUGCUGGGUGGAUUAGUGGCGAACGGGUGAGUAACACGUGAGUAACCUGCCCUUGAUUCUGGGAUAAGCCUGGGAAACUGGGCCUAAUACUGGAUAUGACUUCUCAUCGCAUGGUGGGGGCUGGAAAGAUUUAUUGGUCUUGGAUGGACUCGCGGCCUAUCAGCUUGUUGGUGAGGUAAUGGCUCACCAAGGCGACGACGGGUAGCCGGCCUGAGAGGGUGACCGGCCACACUGGGACUGAGACACGGCCCAGACUCCUACGGGAGGCAGCAGUGGGGAAUAUUGCACAAUGGGCGCAAGCCUGAUGCAGCGACGCCGCGUGAGGGAUGACGGCCUUCGGGUUGUAAACCUCUUUCAGUAGGGAAGAAGCGAGAGUGACGGUACCUGCAGAAGAAGCGCCGGCUAACUACGUG